AGGAAAUAAAUUUCACAAAAGCAAAAGGAAGCAAUGCAUAUGGCAAAAACGACUACUCACGGCUUGUUGCGUUGCCGACUUAUCGUGCGGAGCCACGUAGCUCUGAACUGUUAUGUUUUCUGUACCUAAUAAUAAAAACAAUAGCGUUUCCGUCGUUGGGUUUCGUCUGUCGGGCAUUGUUUCGUUUUAGUCCCUCCUUUUUUUAGAAAUCAACCCCGCAGUCCCGCACUCCAAGGGCUUUUCUGCAAAAUUUCCACUCCCCGUCUCUCGCUUCUCCCCGGCCAACGCCGCCGCCGCCACCUCCGCCAAGCCUACCUGCUGCCGCCCUGUGUCCCCGUCCUACCCAUCCCGUCGCACCACCCCCACUCUCCCUCACGACACCGUUGCUGCCCGCCGAUGAUCUCCUCCACAACGGCCAGAUCCACCCCGCGCCCCGCCUCUCCGGUGCGCCUUGCCGCCGGGGCCCAUCACCACUUGAGCCACGAUCGCUGUCGGGCCGCUCUCCUCGGUCAUGGAGAGAGGAAAGGGGCGAGACGGAAGAGGACGCCAAGAUGGAGCGGAGGCGCCGACGACGACCCAUGCAGCGCCGCAAGUAGUCUGCCCCUCCCAUCCGCCACGUCCUCCCCGGGACAACAGCGCAUCACCUGCGGUGUGGCUACUGGAACUGCGGCUGUGAGCAAUGAACUAAGUGUUUGUGGAAAUGUCUACUUCAGAGUGAGAUUCCCUUUCCAGUUUAUUUUACCUUGUUUUUGUGUGUUCCAAGUGUUUGUGCAAAUGUCUUCUCCGUGUGCACUGUCUCUAGAGCCUAGACAUCCCAUUUAAAGAUGACGAGUAGAUGUAAAUAAUUUACACAUUUCUAAUUUUGUUGCACUCUCAGAUUUUGACAGUCUGUAACCAAAGGAUAAUAUGCCGUUAGUGUUAUUUCCACUUAAAGAAAGAAAGUGCCUAAACAAAAAAGUCAUAAAAUGCUGUGGUGCAAGAUUUCUUCAUUGUUAGUUGGAUAAAACAAAGAGUCCAGUGGGGGAUGAGCAAAGUGGACAACAGGACCGAUGAAGGAGCAGGCAGCUAGCUGCUGCCUUCUGGAGUCAGUUGGCUUCUCUGUUCCCGUAGCUAAGCCAGGAGCUUGAGGACAUCUUUCCCCACGAGCUGGAUAGAAAUGGGAACCUAUAUCGUGAACACCAACCGCAUGCCACUGGAUGCCAACGUCGAGGAUAUGAUAGGCUUGUGAAAACGCUCAUCACAGCGGUGCCAUUGGAUGCGCGUUCCAGGAUGUCGGACUUGCUCAUCUAGAUCUCUUUGUGUUUGAUUACAGGUGCACUUCCACAAUUUUCUGCUUCCUAUAUGCUGUCCUCAUUUUGUUAUGCCCAUAUUUUAAAUUGAAGUUCUCAAUUCCCAAAAAUCUUAUGGGUUCUUAGAGCUACUAAUUGGUAGUACAACUGCUUGUUUUGUUGGAUGAUGUUUGAUGCCUACUGUAGAGUCAGCAAGCUGUAUGUUAAAUAGAAGGUAGUAUCAAUAUUCUUCUGAGCCAAAGAAGUUAGAUUGGGCUUGCUGGAUCUCUUAAACAAUAACAUUGUGAGAUUUGGAUCAUAUCUGCUGAACUACUGUGGAUUGGUCAGAAUAAAUAUGGAAGUGCCAGUUUUCAAGCAGCAAUACUCAUGGCCUUGCUUAUCAUGCAAAGUUUGGUCAUAAAGGAAUUUUGUACUGUCAGCAGGGAAAAAACUUCUUACAUUAAGAAACAAAGGUACUCCCUCCGUCCAACAAAGGAUGUCUCAACUUUGACUAAAUUUGAAUGCAUCUAUAUACUAGGUUAUGUCUAGAUGCAUCCAAAUUUUGACAAACUUGAGACAUCUUUUGUUGGACGGAGGGAGUAGUAGUUUUUUGUAUCGUUAUUGUGCUUCUUAGCUUUGCAUUAUUUGGGUCAAAUUGUUUUUACCCCAACAAUGUAGCUUUUCAAAAUUUAUAUUUUACUCCAAAUGAUGGACUUCAAUAUUCUUCAUUAGAGAUAUGUUGGCCCAAAUCUGUCCCAUGCAUUUGAAUUUUCACAUGCGUUAGGCAGGUAUUUCCAAGUAUGGAAAGCACCCCGCGCCCGCCUCUCCGGUGGGCCUUGCCGCCGGGGCCCCAUCACCACUUGAGGCACGAUCGCUGUCGGGCCGCUCUCCUCGGUCAUGGAGAGAGGAAAGGGGCGCACCUCGCCGCCGAGCCCCUGCAUGGGGAGGAGGGAGCGCUGUUGUGGAGGGGGAUGAGAGGCGACGGCGAUGGCCUUGGAAUGGAGAGCAUCGGCGCUGGGCAAAAUUAUGUUGUUGUUUUUCCAAUACACAUAAAAAUUUCUCAUGUAUUAUGUCUAGAGGCCGUGGCAACGCACGAGCAUUGUACUAGUUUCCUUAAAAAUAUGAUAUAUUUUGUAUGUGAA